AAGUCGUAACAAGGUCUCCGUUGGUGAACCAGCGGAGGGAUCAUUACUGAGUUAUUAAAACUCCAAACCCUUUGUGAACCUUACUGUCGUUGCCUCGGCGUGAGCUACGGCUACCCUGUAGUUACCCUAUAGCUACCCUGCAGCUACCCUAUAGUUGACCAGUGGCUACCCUGUAGUCAUCCUAUAGCUACCCUGCAGCUACCCUAUAGUUGACCAGUAGCUACCCUGUAGCCGGCUUAUGGCCCGCCGAAGGACCGCUAAACUCUUGUUUUUUACCACUGUUUCUCUGAAUUGUAAACUUAAAUAAGUUAAAACUUUCAACAACGGAUCUCUUGGUUCUG
rnacentral:misc_RNA from 1 species